rnacentral:sRNA from 1 species
GAAAAUAUAUAUCUUAUUUGUUGUUGUUUUUAAGACAUCAAUGCACCAUGCAUAAAACCCCCAAUAAGUCUGAUUCACUUAAUCUCAUUUCACAAGAUUGGAAGAAAAUAUUCAACAAUAUGAAUACAUAACGAGAAAUGUGUUCAUUUGCUUGUGGAUGUACCAAAACUUCGAGAAGCACGCUAAAUUAAUCUAGAAGGUCCCUUUAUUUAAAUCUUAUAUAUAAAUAAGCAUUUGUUAUAAGUUCAUCAUCAAUUAUGUCAAGACUCACUAUGACUACAGAGUGAUAUCCUACGAAAAUAGGGUUAGGAAUCCGUGAUUCGGCGAGAUUAUAGUAAAUAAAUUUUCCUUGUUCACCCAUUCAUUAGUAAUGAAGUAUGUCGGCUUCUAUCAGAUGUAACUCUUGCAAAACUUUUUCUAUUGUGUUGAUUCUUCGGACAUGUUUUAGAAUUCUUUUCUUCAUGAAAGGAUCCUCAGCGCAUCCAGACUUGUGAUCUCUGCAAUCAAACACCCUAACCAAUUCUCUGGGAAUUCCAUAUGUUUUGGUAUGGAGUAAAGCCUUUUCGAUCGUUAAUCCAUAACAGUGAUGCAUGUUCUUAGUUUCUGCACAUUUUUGAAGCUCUUCUAAAUCACUAGGAGGGUAGAUACCAAGUGCAUAGUGGCGGAUAAAACUUUUUUUUUCAAAUUGUGCAAUGCUAGUUUGUUGGGAUGUUUCUUCAUUUUCAAUGGUGCUCGAUGCUCUCGGUCACUUUGACUUUUGUUUAGGUGUUAUCUUUUUCUCGUAUCCUUUUGCUCUCUCUUUCACUUGUUCCAUUUCUUUUUGAUUAAACUCAUAAUAUUUGUUGCUCUUUGUUUGUUACAUGUAAUAAUCUAUUCUAUAUAUCUAAGAAAAAUACUUACAAAAAGAACAUUAUUAUCACAUAUGCACAGAAACCGCCAAAAUUGG